rnacentral:rRNA from 1 species
UCAGGAUGAACGCUAGCGGCAGGCUAACACAUGCAAGUCGAGGGGCAUCGGGAGUAGCAAUACUUGCCGGCGACCGGCGCAAGGGUGCGUAACGCGUGAGCAACAUGCCCGUAUCAGGGGGAUAAUCCAUGGAAACGUGGUCUAAUACCCCAUAGUAAUUAUGUAAGGCAUCUUAUAUAAUUUAAAGCUUUGGUGGAUACGGAUUGGCUCGCGUGACAUUAGCUGGAUGGUAAGGUAACGGCUUACCAUGGCUACGAUGUCUAGGGGUUCUGAGAGGAAGGUCCCCCCACACUGGAACUGAGACACGGUCCAGACUCCUACGGGAGGCAGCAGUGAGGAAUAUUGGACAAUGGAUGGAAAUCUGAUCCAGCCAUGCCGCGUGCAGGGAAAGACGGCCCUAUGGGUUGUAAACUGCUUUUGUAUGGGAGCAAUAAGGGCUACGUGUAGUCCGAUGAGAGUACCAUACGAAUAAGCACCGGCUAACUCCGUGCCAGCAGCCGC